CACAGCGUUGGAUGAAGAAAGCAGUCUAUGAAUCCUAUAUAUCUCUAUGCAAAUUGGGUCACCUUACCAAAUAUCGAUGGAUCUUUCACCUCACUAGCAAGAGCGCGUCCCUAGUAUGGCAUCUGUCAUCAUCGCCUUUGAAGCGCUGUCAUCUUCCAAGCUCCAUAGCGUUUAUGAAUUCGUGCGCAAUAACAUCGCGCAGAAUAUAAUUCUCGAAUUCGAAUAUAUAUAAUUAUAAUUCUCGAAUAUUAAGUGUGAUAAAACACACACGCGUUAAAUUUUAGUGUUUUUCUAGUGAAAGACGGAAUUAGUUCCAAUAUGAAACACAAAAGACCACGUUGUCGGAAGAAAAUUCGAAAACCGGUGCUUUGGUAUGUAUAAUAGUGGCGGGAACUCUUUUUCGUCCUCGGAGGACGAGAGAAGUAAUGGUUCGUCACUGCCCAAGAGACCGGGAGACGAGAAAUUCCCGUUGCAGUUUACUGCUUGCUGAUGAAGAUGCUAUGGAGCUUGGAAGAUGACAGCGCUUCAAAGGCGAUGAUGACAGAUGCCAUACUAGGGACGCGCUCUUGCUAGUGAGGUGAAAGAUCCAUCGAUAUUUGGUAAGGUGACCCAAUUUGCAUAGAGAUAUAUAGGAUUCAUAGACUGCUUUCUUCAUCCAACGCUGUGUGUUUUAUUCGACACAUAAUACAUGUUUUGUUUUAAUGCAAAACAUCAAUAUUA